rnacentral:rRNA from 1 species
UACGGAGGGUGCGAGCGUUGUCCGGAAUCAUUGGGCGUAAAGGGCGCGUAGGUGGCCCGGUCAGUCCGUGGUGAAAGCGCGGGGCUCAACCCUGCGUCGGCCAUGGAUACUGCCGCGGCUCGAGCACUGUAGAGGCAGGCGGAAUUCCGGGUGUAGCGGUGGAAUGCGUAGAGAUCCGGAAGAACACCGGUGGCGAAGGCGGCCUGCUGGGCAGUAUGGCUGACACUGAGGCGCGACAGCGUGGGGAGCGAUCCGG